AUGUUUAUUUUCACCUGCCAAUAGCCACGGAUGUUUCGACAAAGCUUUCUGGUGAACAUUUUUCCGAUACACCGAUAUGUCAAUAUAUUCUUUUAAUGCUUAUAAGAGAGUCUGCCAUUGGUUUUCUUCAGUGUAGGUGCGAGCGAGAAAGAAGGACAGGUUUGAGGAAACCAGGAAUCCAAAUACUAUGUAGGCGUUUUUUUUGACGGGACACAAAUUUGGCGGAUUUGGGCCUAUAAGAAGCUUGUUAAAAGGCGGAUUUGUUGAUUCUCCACAAUGCCGCAUGGAGCAAUCCGGUUUCCAUUCGGGAAAUGUCAUGUGUGUCAGGACCAGGCAACAGGAGUGCAUUAUGGGGUGGCCACAUGUGAGGGAUGCAAGGGAUUUUUCAAAAGAAGCACAAUACGAGGAGAAAAGUAUAAAUGUUUCUUUGGGGGUCAGUGUGAAAUAACACCCCAGAAUAGAAAUCGCUGCAAAUCUUGCAGGUUCAGACUAUGUCUAGAAAGUGGAAUGUCCUUAGAAGCUGUAAAGAUGGGGAGGAUUCCAAAAUUGGAAAAAGAACGUGCAUUAGAGUUAGCAAGUCAGGAGGGAAGUCAUGGAAUUGAGAACUCCAUUAGGGAUGAUACAGUCGAUGGUCAGAAAAAAAGCAUUAAAAAAGGUGUCAAACGGGAACAUAAAUCAACAAGUGGGUUCUCCGGCUUCCAGGGCCAGAAAAAACUGGGUCAUGACGAAAGUGCCCGGAUGUCAAGCUCAUUGGACAGCACCGAAAACAAACCAGAAGGUUUAGAAAUAGUCUUUGAUGUUGAUAAGAGCAGGAUAAUGCAGCCAAGACAGUCUAUAAGUUCUGUCGACUCCUCCACAGAUUCUCAGAGCCUGGAGUAUUUGGGUAAAAGAGUCAGCUCGCCUGAAAGUAACAGUGAUUUGGGUCCCAAUCGGCACUGCCCAGUGUCGGUCUUGGCACCGUAUAAUGACAUUAAUUCCUUUACUUCAUCUCUGCUUUCUGAAUCCAGUACAGUAACUGGUUCAAAUAAUGUACAAAAAAUGGAGGAAUUGGAAACAAAUCGUAUGAUAAAAACAGAAUAUGAUUCUCAGUUUGAGAAUUGCUUACACAGAAAUCCCUCUGGCAGCUCAAGUUUUACUUCACCACCCAUCUUAGAAGGGUACCACGCCCAGAAUGGUCCCCCAGCAUCCAUCCACAGUAACAAAUUCUUUCACGCGAAUUACCCAUCUGAUAUCAACACUGGUUUUGUAAGGCAGGAAGAAAUGAGAACACUUGAUUAUGAGACUGACUUAAAUGAGAAGUUGUAUCCAAAGCACCCGCAGGCUUGUAAUGUAUCUCCUUAUGACUCCAACAGCACUGGAUUGGCUUAUGGGGCUUCAAGUGAUUCACACUGUUGUAUUUCCUCAUCGAGUAGUGAAUCCACAAUAUGGGAUAAGGAAAUUCUGGGGAAGCUACAAGUGAAUGAUAACAGCUUUAAAAUGGAACUGAAAACCUCUGAGAUCUAUGCGCCUGUUCGUAAUCACUAUGCAUAUUUGGGUGAUGUUGAACUGGGCGGGAUGUUUAACCGCCUCCCUCUCUACAUUCAAACCUUGCAGCAGUUGGAUGUUUGUCAGAGGACAGGGCUUCUCCUGAAACUGCAGGAAGUACCAAAUGACAUGAUCAACAAAAUCUGUAAGAUGCUUGCGAUGGAGGACAGGUUUGCGGUCAGUAAGGAGGGAGUCAGCAUGGGGAAGGACUCCACAUUCCUCAUUCAGGGAACCCUUCAAAGGCUCAAGUUUUCCAUGGAUACUCUUUGGAAGCCCAUCUGGCUGAUGAGACAAUAUGUCAGACAAGGAUUAUCAAGCGUGGAUUUGCCUUUGGCUGCCCUGGAUUCAAGAAUUUACAGAGCGAGUUGAAGGAAAUUCUGACACAGAAUGCCUACUUUGAAAUUUGGAUUCUGCUGAUGGCUGACUUCUGUAUAGACGGCAAAUGCCAUUUUCCACUUCCAAACAAACAAAUCUACACAAACGAAACAAUGAUUAAAAUCCUGAAGGAGAAAUCAGUUGUAGAAAUCAAAGGUGUUUUGGAGAAGAUCAACAAAUGCCAGCUGUGUGACUUAGAAAUCGGUCUCCUUUGUGCAAUUCUUCUUAUAGAUCCAGAUGAUGAGAAGCUGGGAAACUCCUCCAUGAACUUAGAGCCCCUGAGAGCUCUACAUUCCCAUUACUUAGACAUCCUAGCCACAGUCGUCACCAAGAUCCACACCACUCAGAGCACGAAGAAACUCAGCGACAUCUUCAGCCUUACCCCCCUCAUUAAGAAGCUGUCCACCCUGCUUCGGUUGCAGGUCACCCAGUACGCUGUGGAGCAGGUGCCCGAUGAGGAUUGUCUGCAGUCCAUUGCCAUGAAUGCCCAGGCCCAUGUAGAGAAAGAGCAUUUACUGUGAGAAUGAAGAGUCAGAUUAAGGAGAGAAUGAAGAGUCAGAUUAAGGAGAAUAACAGGCGACCAACAUAAUCAGAAUCAGUGACACUAGGGCCAAGCGACAAUCAUGAAUAUCCAAUGUUUAUAUGUCUUUCAGUCUUGAAAUCCAAUGAUAUAUUUUGAAUGGCUUUACUUUGUCUAAUGUGGUACUUUAACUUGUGUGUUCAUAUUAGUGUGUGCCUUAUUUAUAGCUAUUUAUAGUGGUCAGGCAUGUAAAAAUUAGUCAGUACUAAGUGAUCAAACAUCAAUGUUAUAGCAUUCACACAUUUUCAGUUGAUAUAUGACGUUUAUGUCCGCUGUAGUUAAACAAUGCCAGCUAAAUUCUAUUAAUUAAUUGGUUUGUCACUGACUGUCUAUAGAAAUGACUAUAGAAGGCAAGGAGAAGGAGAGUCUUAAAUGUACUUCUACAACCUGACAUAUUUAUGUAGGUAUAGUCAGAAACAAACCUAACAUUACCAGGUAGUUUUGUUUUGUUGAGGACCCGAUCUUUCUAUAUUAUUGUUAAAUUGAAGAAAGAAAUACAAAGAAAAAUGAUGUUACAGGUGGCAUGUUUUUAUCUAUUAUCUGCUACUUGCUGCCUAUAGAAAUAUAGUUGGCAAUGACAUGAUGCGUUUAAUCAAAAGAUUUUGCAACAUUUUAAUCUGAUGCAAAAACAAAUGACGUUUAUGUCCUUUGUAGUAAGUCUGUUCUGUGAAGGGGCAUGGGUUUGUUAUGGUUGUUAUCUGUUCUUUCAUAGCUCACUGUAUGUGUGAUAUUCAUCAGUCAUUGUUGAUAAUCAUGUCUAGUAUGUCAAAAAAUAUUUAUAUGGUAUUGUUUGUUGUUAAUGUUAUUUGCUGCUGAAUGAAAUCCUGAUUUAAAUUCAUUAAAUAAUUUAAGUCAAGUUGGUGAAAUGUAGUUAAGAUGUCAGCGCUUGCUUUUUAAAAAGUAUAUGGGUCUAGAAGUGGGCUAUAUGAUGUUAAUAUAUGUAUUGUAAGUGACAUAUACUUUCUAAUGUGAAAUAUAGAUUAUUGUACCACCGUUUUUAUCUGUUGAUGUUUGAUAUUGUUCUCAGGUCAGUGUUAAGGCCAAUGGCCUCUUGUUUUGAUGUAUAUAAGAUUUCAUUUUUGACUCAAGUUUGUAAUCACACACAAUCGUUUGCAAAGAAAAAAUGAACAUCGAAAGAGGGUGAUUGUGUGAUAUUUUAUUUCUUUUGAAUUUGAAUCCACCCGAUUUUUCAUGGAGCGUUACUGGUGAUACUUAUGCUAAAAAUGAAUUCUUUAUUAAAGACAAAAGUUCUUAUGCCU
rnacentral:misc_RNA from 1 species